rnacentral:sRNA from 1 species
UCGGUCUCUGUGCUAUCUCCCAGGGUUUAACUUCUGAGUCUCCCUUUCGAUUUUUGUUCACCAUGAGAGCCAAGUGGAAGAAGAAGCGUAUGAGGAGAUUGAAGAGGAAGCGCCGAAAGAUGAGGCAGAGAUCGAAGUAGUGUGCGUGUUUCCCCAGCAACUAUUGCCCUUAGUUUUGUUUCACUUCUGCUAUGUGUUUCUUUCUCAAUCUAAUGUUAUGAUACAUUUUAUUGGUUUCUUUCGCUUCUGUCUUAGCUUAAAAAAAUAUUCUUCCCGCAAAUUAACCAGUUUUAAUAUUCGAAGCUAUUGCAUAUCUAUUCUUUGUUUGGUUCACAUUUUAGGAUUUUGGAUGUUCCGAUCACUAUAACACGUCGCCAUUUUUGCGAAGAAUUAAAUGCUUUUAAUAAUUCUUGGUCCCUUUUUAUUUAAGUACGUAAGAAGUAAAGUUGAAAAAAUAAACUGUGUCGUCAUAAGGUUGUGUAUCUUCAAAUAUAGGAACGGUUCGAAGGAGUUAACUCGUUUAGGUUAAUAUUGGGGGCUUCGACAUUGGGUGUCUGAUGAGAAUAUAAAAUGUUAUUUGAAUUAUCGUGUAGAGUUCUGCAGCGCAGUUUUCAUACAUUGAUUACGUUUGACGUUAUUUUGGUUGGUUUGCUUACUGCGCAUGAUGUGGAGGUCCAAUUUGUUUUGAUUUGUGAAAGAGAAUGAAUUUAGAGAGAAUAAAAGUAUCAUUGCAUUUAUCGGAUAGUGGAGGAAGGUGAUAUAUGUAUGUGCUCCAUUGGAAGGAGAUUUUGCAGUCGUGUAUAUGUUAUAGUGAUGUCGUAGUUUCAGAGAAGGGGUCUCUGUUUAAUUUUUUGGUAUCAGUUUCUGUGAAUCUGUUAUUCUUUGUUUGAUCAGUAGGUGCCCAUGGUAUAUUUUUACUUUUAGAUGUGAGCAUGGGAAAUGUAAUUUUUUCGGAUUUUAUUACUAGGGUGAUGUGUUAAGUUGUCAUUUGAUUUGGUUGUAUGAUACACUUUAUUUCUUUCGUCUGUCGAUGAUGUAACAUCUUAGACGAUAGUUGCUUGUUGAACUGCGUGUUUUGAAUUAAAUCAAACUUCGGAUAAAUUUAUGGAGAUAUUGCAUUGGGGAGAAUAGACCAUCCGAUCUCGGUCAACUAACUUAGAGCAACAACUUAAAUCCUGAACAGGUUAGCAAAUAUCGUACCAUUGGAGUAACAACUUGAAUCUUAAAAAACUUUAUGAUAUUAUAUCAUAUCAUUAUUCCUGGACUCUCGUAUUG